rnacentral:rRNA from 1 species
UGGCCGACCGGCGCGAGGGUGAGUAACGCGUACUACCCACCCUUCCCCCGAGUAGGCAUACGGCCGGACGAAAGUCGGAUUUAAUACCCUAUGUUGUGUCAUGAGGACAUCUGAAUAACACCAAAGAUUUUAUCGCUGGGGGAUGGGGAUGCGUCCGAUUAGGUUGUUGGCGGGGUAACGGCCCACCAAGCCCGCGAUCGGUAGGGGUUCUGAGAGGAAGGUCCCCCACACUGGUACUGAGACACGGACCAGACUCCUACGGGAGGCAGCAGUGAGGAAUAUUGGUCAAUGGGCGUAAGCCUGAACCAGCCAAGUAAGCGUGCAGGACGACGGCCCUAUGGGUUGUAAACUGCUUUUAUGCGGGGAUAAAGUGACGUACGUGUACGUUUUUGUAGGUACCGCAUGAAUAAGGACCGGCUAAUUCCGUGCCAGCAGCCGC